GAUGAAGAACGUAGUGAAAUGCGAUAAGUAAUGUGAAUUGCAGAAUUCAGUGAAUCAUCGAAUCUUUGAACGCACCUUGCGCUCCUUGGUAUUCCGAGGAGCAUGCCUGUUUGAGUGUCAUUAAAUUCUCAACCAUUAUCAACUUUUGCUGAUAAUGGCUUGGAUGUGGGGGUCUAUUUUGCUGGCUUCUCAGAUAGUCAGCUCCCCUUAAAUGCAUUAGCCUGUGCCCCGCGUGGACUGUCUAUUGGUGUGAUAAUUAUCUACGCUAUAGACAUCUGCAAUCAUAUGGGUUUGCGCUGCUUCUAACAGUCUGUUGAUUCAGACAAUACAUGACAAUUUGACCUCAAAUCAGGUAGGACUACCCGCUGAACUUAAGCAUAUCAAUAAGCGGAGGA
rnacentral:misc_RNA from 1 species